AAGCGCUUGCAAUCAGACUUACCUGUAGUUGCUCACCUAGGCUCUUGCCUAGUGCACUCUUCUGCAAGUAGGCCAGCAUCAGUUCAGGCGGUUGGAUAAAGACCUCUAUCACGUAUCUUCCUUCGGGAUGACCUUAUAGGGGAGGUGUAAUGCAACCAGCCUGGAUUGAGGUCCGCGCAUCUGCUAGGAUGCUGGCGUAAUGAUUGUAAGCGGCCCGU
rnacentral:rRNA from 1 species